AGCAGAUGAAGGCCUGGGCCCAGGGACCCCUGGUUCUCUUCUCCAACAACCGUCGAUCCCUUUUUCUGAAGCAAGGUUCCAGAGGCCACUCUGGCCUGGGCGACUUGGGUGCAUCUGAAACUUUCCAGGAGGUUAUCCAUCAGAGGUUAUGAUCAUCACCAUCUUCUUGGGACAAGUCUCCAGAACAGUGUUUACAAUUGGAAUGUGACAGAUACACUCAGUUUACAGAAGAAGAACCUUCCCUGAUGCCUGGUCCUUUCAAGAUCUCCUCUAUGUUGCCCAGGAACCUGACACCACCGCAGACUUCAAAGUGGAUAUAUUUGGAGUCUCUCCCUGGCUGAAUGGAGUUAAGAACAGAGAGCUGGAAAUAGUUGGUCUGAAUGAAAACCAACCCUUCUCUUACUCUGAGGAGCAUGAAGGACUAAUAUUAAAACUGCAAGAUAGCAAAACAUGCUGUGUAGCACCCUGAAAAGAGAUGAUACCUCCAUAUUUAGGGAAAUUAAUAAAUUAUUUUUUGUGUGUACAAUAUAUAAUGAAAAAAAUGUGAUGAAAGAAUUUCACUGUUGCAUUUUUCCACUUCCACAAGUAAUUCUUUUUUUUAAAGUAGAAACCAGAGAAAGCUAAACAUUUAUUUAUAUAUUUUAAUAAUUCCAUUUUGUUUUUGGUUGACUAUAACAGAUUUUUAAUGAGAAAGUCCUGCUUAGUUUAAUCUACCUGCAAGAAUUAAUGGGCGCGCACGCGCACACACACACACACACACACACACACACACAGAGUCUUGCAGAACAUAGUGGUUAUUUAAGGACUUUGGUGUUAGAAGGCCUGGUCCAUCCUCUGCUGUGGUAUUUACUGCUUGUGAGACUUUGGGCAAGAAAGGCAACCCCUCUAAAGACUCACUUCCCACCUUACAAUGAUGUGACAUGUGAAAUAAUUUAUGUAAAUAAAAGUACAUUUCUGAAAAUAUAACAUUCAUUUACUUCUGCAUUCAUUCAACUAAUACCCUUCAGCAUUGAUUUUAU